CGGCAGGAUAUACCUUCAACGGUGCAAUCACCGAA
rnacentral:scRNA from 1 species